GGGGGAACACCCGUACCCAUUCCGAACACGGAAGUUAAGCCCGUCAGCGUGCCGGGAAGUACUGGAGUGAGCGAUCCUCUGGGAACCGCGGUUCGCCGCCUGCC
rnacentral:rRNA from 1 species